rnacentral:rRNA from 1 species
UACGAAGGGGGCUAGCGUUGCUCGGAAUUACUGGGCGUAAAGCGCACGUAGGCGGCUCUUUAAGUCGGGGGUGAAAUCCUGGAGCUCAACUCCAGAACUGCCUUCGAUACUGGAGAGCUUGAGUUCGGGAGAGGUGAGUGGAACUGCGAGUGUAGAGGUGAAAUUCGUAGAAUAUUCGCAAGAACACCAGUGGCGAAAGGCGGCCUCAGCUGGCC